UACGGAGGGUGCAAGCGCUGUUCGGAAUCACUGGGCGUAAAGCGCGUGUAGGCGGCCUCUUAAGUCUGGUGUGAAAGCCCGGGGCUCACCCCCGGAAGGGCACUGGAUACUGGGAGGCUAGAGUACCGGAGAGGAGGGUGGAAUUCCUGGUGUAGCGGUGAAAUGCGUAGAUAUUAGGAGGAACACCGGUGGCGAAGGCGGCCCUCUGGACGGGUACUGACGCCGAUACGAGAAAGCGUGGGGAGCAAACAGG
rnacentral:rRNA from 1 species